rnacentral:rRNA from 1 species
UACGAAGGGGGCUAGCGUUGCUCGGAAUUACUGGGCGUAAAGGGAGCGUAGGCGGGUUAUCAAGUUGGGGGUGAAAGCCCGGGGCUCAACCUCGGAAUUGCCUUCAAAACUGAUAACCUGGAGUAUGGAAGAGGUAAGUGGAACUCCGAGUGUAGAGGUGAAAUUCGUAGAUAUUCGGAAGAACACCAGUGGCGAAGGCGACUUACUGGUCCAUUACUGACGCUGAGGCUCGAAAGCGUGGGGAGCGAACAGG